rnacentral:rRNA from 1 species
GGGCCGGAGAGAUCCGGUCCUUCAGUUCGGCUGGCGGGAACACAGGUGCUGCAUGGCUGUCGUCAGGCUCGUGUCGUGAGAUGUUGGGUUAAGUCCCGCAACGAGCGCAACCCUCGCCUCCAGUUGCCAUCAGGUAAGGCUGGGCACUCUGGAGGGAACUGCCGGUGAUAAGCCGGAGGAAGCGGGGAUGACGUCAAGUCCUCAUGGCCCUUAUGGGCUGGGCUACACACGUGCUACAAUGGCGGUGACAGAGGGACGCAAGAGCGCGAGCUCACGCCAAUCUCAAAAAGCCGUCUCAGUUCGGAUUGCACUCUGCAACUCGAGUGCAUGAAGUCGGAAUCGCUAGUAAUCGCGGAUCAGCACGCCGCGGUGAAUACGUUCCCGGGCCUUGUACACACCGCCCGUCACACCAUGGGAGUUGGUUUUACCCGAAGACGGUGCGCCAACCGCAAGGAGGCAGCCGGCCACGGUAAGGUCAGCGACUGGGGUGAAGUCGUAACAAGGUAGGCGUAGAUGA